UGAAGAGUUUGAUCAUGGCUCAGAUUGAACGCUGGCGGCAGGCUUAACACAUGCAAGUCGAGCGGUAACAGGGGGUGCUUGCACCCCGCUGACGAGCGGCGGACGGGUGAGUAAUGCAUAGGAAACUGCCCAGUAGUGGGGGAUAGCCCGGGGAAACCCGGAUUAAUACCGCGUACGCCCUUCGGGGGAAAGCAGGGGAUCUUCGGACCUUGCGCUAUUGGAUGUGCCUAUGUCGGAUUAGCUAGUUGGUGGGGUAAAGGCCUACCAAGGCGACGAUCCGUAGCUGGUCUGAGAGGAUGAUCAGCCACACCGGGACUGAGACACGGCCCGGACUCCUACGGGAGGCAGCAGUG
rnacentral:rRNA from 1 species